AAAUGUCUCCCGAUCUUCUCUACCUACCUUCUUCCUUGUCACCUCUAUAAGAUGCAGACCUAAAUCCAAUAGAAAAUCAAUUGCUAGACUUAAAAUUUUAUUUCCAGAGAUGGUCUCAAUCCAAUCUGACUGAGUGUGAGAAAUGAAGAAGAAUGGCCAGAAAUGCAAUGGGCCAGCAAAGAAGAAUAAGGAAGUGGUGUGUUAUAGUUCCUGCAUGCUUUAUCUGUGGGUGCAGGAACAAGUCAUCAGGUCUGAUUAUAAGGUUUAUGUGAGCGAGUCAGAGUACUGCUGAAGAUGAAGACAAUACUUGUUUUCUGUAAGUAGACUGACAGCAGAUAGAAACAAAAUCUACAUUUUAAUUAUUUUUGCACAAUGGACAUUGAUGUGACUCUACACUUAUUGUCUUCAAGAUAUUUUGCUAAACCAGGUCAUUGGCCAGACAGAAGACAUGUAUCCUGCAAAGAUUCUGGCCCGGCAGAGAACUGUAAGAGAGGGCAGUGACCUUUAUGUAUACUGCAGCAUAUUCGGGCAAAAGAAGUACCCCUCUUUUUAUGUUUAUUUACUGAAAGAUGGACAAGGAUUUCGGAAAUCAAAACAGAAGCAAACUUUGGAUGAUGCUCUUUUCAUAAUAUCUAAUCUUCAUCUUGAUCACAGUGGAAAUUACAGCUGCUUGUACUCCACUACAAAUUACAGCCUUUCUGAUGUAGAAAGGAAAGGACCGUAUGAAGUUGAGAUUCUGGUUAUAGCCAAUUUCAUCCCUGCAAAGCUCUCCAUAGCUGGACCCUUCACAGUUCAUGAGGGAAGCCACGUUGAAUUCAAAUGCACCUUUUCGGAAACCCUGCACACUCUCAAUAACUGUCAACUCAUCUACUGUUACCUGAAGAAGAAUGAGACCAUCCUCCAAAUACAAGUAUUUAAUCUUGCUCAGAUGGAAGCCUCUUUCAGCAUUGAAGGUGCCGUUUCAAGGGAUUCGGGUCCAUAUAGUUGCCUUUUGCUGCCAUCAAAAUGCUUCCAGAAACAAUGGAAUGAGCUGCAAGGAAUAAAUACGGUGAUUCUGGAAGUCAAAGAGGAUUUGAUCCCAUGGGCGGCUUUGUCUUGUGGAUUUACAGUCCUUAUGUUGCUUUUUAGUCUGUGUCUGGGAUGGUUCGUUUACAAAAAUUGCUUCAAACUUUUGCACAAGCCAUGGUGAGUCUUUGUUUAGCUGCACUCCCUGUUGGCAGACGGAAGAAAUUAAAAGGCAGUGAUUGAAUACAAUGUACAUGUAAUACAUAAGGAAGGGUUUGCUUUCUGUUUGAAUUGUGUGUUGUCUCAUUUUGAUAGUGAGCAGCAGAAUACAGAUGUGUUGGCACUGACAGACGUGGAACCACAAGAGGGAUCAGAAGAAGAGAAUUCUUUCAGCAUGGAGAGCGAAGAAGAUUGCUGCAGCACAGCAGCCUCCCCCAAUCCACAGCUGCAUACAGAUGUACUUGGCACAAGUUUUAUACCGAAUGUCCUUCCUGAAGCAACCCACCCUGUUGUCAGCAACAGGGAGUGGGUUUCAAAUGAGGACCAACUUGCAGGGCCACUUGUUGUCGCAUCUGAGCCAUUGACAACCUCAAUAAGAAAUUCACAGUGUUUUGAGACAACAAGGGCCGUCAUCUAUUACUCAAGUGAGAGAAUUUACAGCGUUAUUCCAGAUGAUUCAUCCGCAGGACCAAGUACUUCACGUGUGCUGUACACCACUUCUGUCAUUAAGCAAUAACAGUCUUCAUGAAAGUCAUCAGAACAAGACUUCACCUGAAUGUGAUACAUAAAUCCAUUACAUGCAGGUAUUUUAUUCAUUUCACUUUUGUGCUACUCCAGGACAAUGCAAGAGUGUUGACCUGAUAGAUUUACCCACAAGGACAGUGCAUUGUUCAUACAACUUGAACUUUUCACAUUUUGUCACAUAAUUUCAAAUGACUUCAAAAAUUUAAAAUAAAAUUUAAAUCACAUUUGUUUUGUAUGUGUUGCAAGGAUUUGUAUUGGUUUGUCUCUACCAGUCUUAACGUUGUGCCAGUUCCUUGUAAAACAACUAGAACUCUAUCAAGCUUGGUAGUGACUGUGAAAAUCAAUUUUCAAGCUGUACCAUAGAUUCAAAAUUAGACUUUGGUCUGCACUUUGAUUGGGUAAUUUUAAUAUAUGUUUAGUGUCAUCCUGAUGGAAGGUGAAACUCAGUCUAAAAUCUAUUACAGGCUGCCAAACUUAGCUAAGAAGUUAUAAUAUUGUUAUAGAAGUGAAAUUCACGGUGAACUUCUCCUGGUUACACUGAAGUGAAACUAGACACAAGUGGACUUUGCUUAAGAUAAGAUAAGAUAAGAUAAGAUAAGAUAAGAUAAGAUAAGAUAAGAUA